rnacentral:rRNA from 1 species
GAUAAACGCUGGCGGCGUGCAUGAGACAUGCAAGUCGAACGAACGAGCUUGCUCGUUAGUGGCGAACGGGUGAGUAACGCGUUGGUGACCUGCCCCGAAGAGGGGGAUAACAGUCCGAAAGGAUUGCUAAUACCCCAUGUGGUUAUCGGGAUCAGAAUCUGAUAACUAAAGUCGUAAGACACUUUGGGAGGGACCUGCGUCCCAUCAGCUAGUUGGUAAGGUAACGGCCUACCAAGGCUAUGACGGGUAGGGGACCUGAGAGGGUGGACCCCCACAAUGGCACUGAAACACGGGCCAUACACCUACGGGAGGCUG